GCUUUUCCUGUUUCUAGAAAAGGGGGAAAAAAAGAUCCAUAAUCUAGAAUCUCUGCAGAUGGUGUAGAUAUUGUCCUGGAUUGCCUUUGCGGUGAAAAUACUGGUAAAGGCCUCAGUCUACUCAAACCACUUGGGACUUACAUUUUAUAUGGCUCAUCAAACAUGGUUACUGGGGAAACCAAAAGUUUCUUUAGCUUUGCAAAAUCAGUAAGUAUAAGGCCCUUCCGGCUUUGUUAGAGCUUAUUUGUAUGUGCUGUGCUCCGAGUCUCUCUUCUUUUUCCCUGCCGUUUUCUCCCCUCGCUCCCUUUAACAGCAUGACUCAUCCUUUGCAGAUUCAGAUCCAAGCUAGGCAUUAUCCACAGCAGAGGUAUGAAUGUUUCAUUAAGUUUGUUGGUUUCUUUGUACCUAGGAAGACAUGGCAAGGAGGGGCUGCUUAAAUACAAUUUACAUUUCUAGGAG